rnacentral:rRNA from 1 species
CCCUUAGAUGUUCUGGGCUGCACGCGCGCUACACUGAUACUUUCAGCGAGUCCACCACCUUGCCUGGGAGGGUGGGGUAACCUCUGGAAAGUGCAUCGUGAUGGGGAUCGAUUAUUGUAAUUAUUAAUCUUCAACGAGGAAUUCCUAGUAAGCAUGUGUCAUCAGCCCGUGCUGAUUACGUCCCUGCCCUUUGUACACACCGCCCGUCGCACCUACCGAUUGAAUGGUCCGGUGAAGCCUCCGGAUUGGCGCGCACCUCGGUGCCGCCGAGAAGUUGGCUAAACCUUACCAUUUAGAGGAAGGUGAANUCGUAACA